CCCAAUGAUCUAGUGUGGAAUUGUAGGAGGUUCAUAGAGACAGUUCUGUAGGUGGCACAAUAACCUUUAGAGAAGUUACCCACAAAUUUACCAAUUCCAUCAUAAUUAGCAUAACAGGUAUAAUUACCUUUAUAGAUGGUAACACCAUCUGGGGGUUUGCAAUCUUUGACUAGAAGAGGAUACUCUACUGUCCAUGCUUUACAUAUGGACCUAUUGAAAUUGUAG